UGUCUGGGUGCGCUCUGGUGGCUCCUGGAGCGGGGGGUGCAGGUUCUCACCAGCGUUCCCGCCUUUUACAAUGAGUAAAAUAGAUUUAAGGGGACUGCUGCCUGUCUCCGCACAGGAGCUGUUAUAAACUUAACGCAGAAAUACCGUAACGUUGCUAACCUGUAUUUAAUUUUUAAUUUAAACUGCUGACUUGAGCAGUCACAUAUGGAUCAUUUUUCUCAUUCUCACUAUUUUCAGAUAGUCAUAAAAUCUGCAGACAUCCCUAGGGCUGGAAUCUGAAUGUUGUUGCUCCACGGACUUUGGAUAAGACAGUUGAAAUCAUGAAGUGGAUUUUAACUCUUUUUUUUAUUGUCGUUUCACAGAUUCACAGACUAUUCUGACUUGGAAGGGAUCCAGUAGGAUCCUCGAGUCGAGCUCUUAAGUAAAUGUCCCCUACAUGUCCCGUACAGGGGUCACACCCACCACCUUGGCAUUAGCAGCACCAUGUUCUAACCAACAGCAGCUACAGAAAAUGAACAAAUUUAACUACAAAUAACAAUGUGUUCUGUCAACGAACCUGCACAUCACUAUGAGGACUUGACAAUAUCCAAGCUGUAUGCUGCUCUGCUUGAGGAUUUUGAAUCCCAAAUUGCCUGGUUAGGUGGAAGUAUUUCUGGUGGAGAUACAUACGUGCAACCUCUGCCAUUUCACAAGCAGGAUCAGAAGUAAGAUCAGGAUACACCUGGCUCAAAUGUGUGAAACUGAUGUGGCAUGUCAAAUUUCAGGCUGCCCUAAAACGAACCAAGGUAAAAAUGAGUUAUAUAACAUUGGAGAUGAAAAGAAUGAAAACGAAGAAAAUCUUGGAAAAAAUUGCUGUCUUGUUGCCUGUGUAUGAGAUGCCUUAAAAUAAGAGUCCUUGGUGUUGUGACAUGAGCAUAAUACUCAUGCAUCUCACUCCUGUGAAAUGAGAAGUAGCAGCUUAUUUUCAGCUUGAGGAACCCUGCAGUGCUGACUUCCAUAUUCCAAGAGAAAGGACAGAUAAGCCCAGUCUGUGCCUCUUAGAGUCUGACACGUUUCCAGUGCUAGAACCCAGACAUUUGCUGGGGAAAGUAAAAGCCCCUAAGGCUCAAUCAAGGUGUAAACAUCAGAGGAAAAUCAGUUGAAAGCUGGAUCUAAAGGCUCAGCUCACCCUUGAUGAACUGAUGGGAAAUGCUUGUGCCUUAAAGCUGGCUUCUGAGAGGAAGCAGCAUUUCUGAAUGUGUGGAACAUGGCACUAGAGCCCAAAGAUGCUGAGAAAAUCCAUUUAAAAGGUCACGAUGUGGAUCAUGGCUUUAAAUAUGUUUAUUGUCACAUGACUGAGUAGAUCUUGAUAGAAAAUCAUUGAAAAUCACACAUGUGGAUAAAAGAAACCUACCAGUGCUUCAGCUGUGGAAGUGCUUUUAUAUCACUUUAUGAAGUGCCUGGAAAGUGGACAGAAACAGCCAUCAGAGGAAAACUCAUCUCAGGGCACAUCACCUGAAACUGAGCAGCUAUUGUAACAAACUGUGGCUUUCAGUGCAACUAAGGAAUGGAUCAAGGCCUGCAAGCAUCUGUGCAAGCACAGGUACUGUUACUAACUACUGAAUACAAGAUGUGAAGUUUUUUUCUUAUUUUUCUUUUUUUUCCUCUUUCAGUGCUAAAUACUCAGUACAAGUGUACAUAGAAGUAUAUUCGUUUUAAUUGAUGGGAUAAGGCUUUAAAACUCAUUAAGGUCCUGUGACACCCCUUAGAGUUACUGGCUUCAGCUCCAUCUCACAACAUCCUGGCAUGUGUUGGUGGUGUCUUGACUGAACCAUGCUGGUGUACACUGAAUUGGAGAGUCAGGUUAAAAAAACCCCAAACAACACAACAAAUGAACAAACAAAAAACAACUCAAACAAAUGACUUCUUGAGAAGCUCUGUUUUAUGUAUGUUUCACAAACAUAGCACAGAAUGAGGAGCAAGGUUUAUUUUCUCUGCAAUUUUGUCUUUCAUCACCUGAAAGUUUUGUAUGUCAGAUUUUUAAGUCUUUCCAUCACUGAUGGUAUUAUAAAAUAUUGGUAUAGUGUAUUUUGGGUUUCUUUUUGAAUUACUUUACUUAGCUUAUUUCUUAAAUGGCAAUCCAGAGAACAGUUGAAGGAGCAUAUGGAAAAUUACAGAACUGCUACUGCCCUUUUGUCUUCAUUUUGGGAUCAAGUAUUCGAAACCAGACAUCAGCUGAUUUUGACAUCAUCACAAACAAAUCCACCAUGAAGGAACAACAAACCCACAAGUGAAAAAGAGGAAGAGAAGAAAGAAGAUAAUCCUGUGUGUUUCAGCACAAAAGCAACUUGAAAGCAACGUUCAAGAUAAUUUACAUGCAGUAUGUGCAGUAGGUAUGAUCUGUAUUACAGCAAAACUUAUUAUUUUGUUUCUUAAUUGCAGAAUAUUUGAUAAUCUGGCACAUUUAUUUAUUUGCUGAUUUACUUACAUAUUUUAGUAAGAAAGUUGCUCUUAGAUAGCCUGCACAAAAGUAAAAAUAGCUGCCUCCUACUUGGUUUGUGAUAGUACCAGUCUUUGGAAUAAAUUAAUCAUAUGCUGAUCAAAAGGUUCAGCUAAGGUUUUCUGCUAUAGUUUAUUACAGGCAAUAACAAAGUACAGCCACUGAAAUAGGCUCUUUCAGGAGCCAAGAGAAAUGCUCUCAGACUUCUCAGAAUUCUGAAAGUUAACUAGGUGAGAAAAGAGCUUCCUUUGAGCCAUGGCUGCAUUUUUAAGACGAAUAUUAACUGAAGCACCAAUUUUAUCAGUUAGUGUAGAAUUCUACUUAUCUGCACUUGUGAGAGUUAACACCAAGACUUUGCCUGACCUCAAGUGCAUCCUUUCUUCCAAAGAGAUUUUGAGAAGGCAUUUGAUGCCUUCCUGUUAUUCAGAAAAAACCUCUUUUUUCCUGGAUAAAGAAGAUAAUGAUCUCUUGCAGCUGCCUGUCUAUGAGUUGACAUUACAAAAUAUUCUGAUAGCUUUUCUAAUAUUUAGGUACAGAAGCUUGAGUACAUCUCUUGCUCUAGAUUUCUUCUAAGUAUGUGCAUUUGGCUUGGGGUGUUUUCUCUUUUUGUUGUUGUUUAUGGCCAUAUAUCUGUUACAUUGUCAGAAAAGAUUUUUACAAUAGUUUACGUAGAGAAAUAACUUUCUUACUUUCACAAUUGUUUAUCAUAAUUUAAUUCAAAUCAUCAAAGUUUUUUUCCCCAAAGUUUUAUCCCACUAUUUUCUAGGACUUAAAUAAUUGUCUAUACUGAAUCUGGCUUUCCUCAUUUGAAGUUGUUAUUGCUCAUGUGGAAAGAAAUAAAUACAUGUUUUAGUAGCUCUCUGAAAUUGGUAUAAUAAAAAGAAUGCAAAAGAGGAAUUUGAGUUCAGUUAGUCAAAGGCCUAAUUGCUUGAAGUGAGCUAAAGCAUUUUUGUUAGUAAGUAGGGAGCAGACCAAUAUGCUGAUGAUGUACCUUGCAUGUAGGCAUCUGUCUUCUGGCCGUCUUUUAAAUCAAAUAGUCAGUUAACAAAACUUGUCUGUGUUUUAAGUGGCAGAAGUAUAAUGGCAAGCACUUUACCUUGUUACAUCAUUACAACAGUUACUUGUGUAACAGUGGAGUAUGACAAUCCAAAUUUUAUCUGAGGUUACAUUUGAAAUGUGAUGUCUAAAGUAUGCACUGCAGCUCUGUUUUGAAAGAAAAAGGAGCUUUUAUGGAACUGGGUCUCUGGACCCAGUUCUAUAAAACUCCAUGGUUCCUCUCCCUGGAACCAUGAAGAUUAAAAACUUGAACUUUUCAUACCUACUUCUGACUCAGGCUUUGCUUGACUUUUGUACAGCAAAACAAACUUCCUGUCAACACUGUUCCUUUCCUACAGCCCCCCUGAGGUGCAGACUCAUAAAACUGGCGUUAGCCGUAGUCCCAGCCUGCAGCUGCCUUGUGAUCCUUUCCACUGAAGGCCCUGUCCCCACAGCAGAAGAGGAUGUGUUGGGAAUCACAGCCACACAGAGGUGUGUCCUGCAGCACAGGUGGAAUAGCUGGCGGCAGAAGGGUGUAAGGACAACCUUGCUGUGCUGACUGUGGCUCUGAGAGCACAGAUCUCCAGAGUGCCAGAGCAAGCUGCCUCAUUUUGUCUUUGUCCCACAGUUGUCUCUCCUUAUGCCCAGAUUAACAGAUGGACAUGGAAAGCAUAUUUUAGAGUCUAUGGAUACUGUAAAACUUAAAGGAAUUCCUUUAAACUGAGAAAGAUCUGCUGUCAGGAGGUUACCAGCGAAGUGUUGGAAGCGGGACUUGGAAAUCCAGCUGUUUUCGUGGCCGUCCUGUGGCACUUUAUUUGUUUUCCUCCAGGAGGGGGCAGCAGAUGAACAACAUCAGGGGCUGUUUUUUACCUUUCAAACGCUUUUCCAGUGUCCCUCUCUCUGCCUAUGAAUCCUAGCAGGGACUCCAUACCGAUGGGAGAAUUGAAAAUUAUGAUUGCUGCCUGUUUGCUACAAGGAUUGCUGGAAUGUAUGAAUCGGAGGUCUUCAUUCUGUUCAGUAUUGAGCAGUAGAAUUUAUUUAGCAAAAUCUAUCUCAAGUUUAUAAAAAGCGGAGUUUUAUAUUGAGACUAAAGAUUUUUAUGACUAUGGCUUUAGGUGUGUAUAUAUUUUAAAGGAUAAAAUAACCAAGCAACCCAACCCCAUGAGCUUAUUAGGUAAUGUCGUCUAAGUCUUUCUGAACAUCUUUAUUUCAAAUACUUAUUUUCUAUGUUUCACAUUGCAUAUUACAAUUCAAAAUAGUGUUCUCACAGCUAUUUUUCUCCCAUCAGAAAAUAAAAUUGGGAAUACUCUAUUUCUAGUGAUGCUUUUCGUUCCUGUGUAAUUAAUGUGUUUAUGUACAAGGAUGGCUUGUGCAUUCUGCUGAUAGAGCACAGGAGUUAAAGGCCUCCAUUCGCAGGCAGUGCUAGUGGUGCUAAGCAAUAUAACCAAAUGUUAUUGCCUUUUUUCAGCCACAAAGUGCAGUUUUAUCAUCUAAAACUUUAUGGAGGCUUACCAUAUUGCUGAUUGGGAGUGUAGUGGAGUCUUUUUUAAAACUGUAGGGAAAAUAGUGAUUAUUACCUACCAUUGUGAAUUUCUUGAAAGUGUGUGGCUAUAAUUCUGUUUAAGUUACAGAUCAAGUAGUUAACAAAAAGCCACUGAGAGAGGGCAGUCCAGCCCUUUUAGCUGCUGUGUUUUAUCCAGUAGUUUAUGUAAAGAAAGAAAAACCAUAGUGGCUUCUGUGAGUAUCAGCUGCCAUAAUCAGUGUUCAGAAGCUAACUGGGAAGAAUGAAACUAAUUCCUACCAGAUCUGAUUCAUGGAUAGACCUGCUGUGGUGAUUUUUAUUAAAAUCGUGUUGUAGUGUAUGUAGGACCUUUAUGGAGCCUAAAACUUUAUCAGGUGACGUGACUUUCUUUUUUCUUCUGUGAUGAUUUUCCUCUUUAAAGGUUAGAAAUGUUUAAGAGAAGGCGAGGAAAUAAUUUCAAAGAUUUAUUCAGAAUGGCACAACUUGCCUUUCAGAAUUAGCUUUCAUCUUAAAUUCCACUGUUUAAAUCACAGAUUUUUCCAUAUAGGCCCCAUGGUUCUAUUGAGGUCACUGAUUUAGCACCUUCUAUGCCUCAAACACUUCAACAGCUCCCCUGAGUAUUUAAGUUCCCUCAUGCAAGUUCAGGGCUUUUUAUUCUUUGAGCAAUGUAAGCUUUAUUUUUCUGGUGUAGGAAAGAUCCACCCAAUUAACUGUGAAUUAAAUUUCCUUUUGCCUUUUUCUUGUUUUGAAUACUGUUGCAUAAAAUAACAACUGUGUGAUUCAGUCUUGCUUUGUGCAGUAAUUAGCGGGAAUACUUUUGCCAGUAGAAGUCUUGUGUAUAGUGUAAACUAAUUCCAUGGUAUUCUAAAAUACUGUGUUUUCAAAAUAGCUGGACUUGAAUUGCCUUCACAAAUAUGUCAUGAAAAUAGCUCGUGUUUCCUUAUAGAGUGUUCAAAGAAUGAGUAAUCCUGUUUAUUACAUGUGAAAUAUGAAUGUACUACCUGUAUUCAGGAAUAGUAUUUACUUAGGUAUUAAUUAUUUACAGUGUGUUUUGAAAGGACAUUGUUUCCUUUUGCUGAGUGCUGGUCAAUAAUCUGGAUAGAUGUGUAAGCACUUCCUAAACCUGCUAUAGAUGGUUUUCAUGUAGCAAGGAUUGUAAACUUCUAUGCUAGUAUUUUUUUUCAUUGAAAUUAUUGUGUGCUAAAAAUAUUACUGUACAGAAUUAAAGACUUGAAUUUGUGAACAGCCAAUGCUUCCUCUGUUGUUCCUGAGGUAUACUGAGGAUGGUGAGUGGGAUAAUCCAGAAAAUCAAGGAAUUUGGGAUAACAGAUCUGUAAUCUGCAUUGGCCUGCUCAAGAAGAUUCCUAAGAAUCUUCUCUUUGUAUAUUAGCACAUACGUAAUUUUCAUAUGGAGUUUUUUCCCUGUCUAAAUAAAUUCCACUUGCAGGAAAGAGUAACAGUUAUUUAAC